GCGUUUCCGUUCUCACCACCCCCCAAAAUCCCCCACCCGCCAUGCCCGACUCCUCCGCCGAUCCCCAACCCCCACUCCAACCCUCCGCCGCCGCCGCCAACUCCGAUCCCGACAUGCCGCCGCGGAAGGCCCCCGCCGGCGGCGGCGGCAAGCUCAAGCGGCCCCUCACCCUGAAGCUGCGCGCCGCCGCCGAGCAGCGCCUGGCCCACCUCCGCGCCCGCCUCCGCCUCCACCCGCUGCCCCCGCCGCCGCCGCGCGCCCUCGCGCCCGAGGGGUCCCCCGAGGAGGCGGCGCUCCGUGCCCUCGGCCUCCUCGGCUUCGCCCGCCUCGGCCCCGCCUUCUCCUCCUCCGCCUCCGAGCCCCUCCGCCCCGACCUCGUCGCCCACCUCGUCGCCUACUACGACCCGCCCCAGCGCCGCAGCUUCGUCCGCGGCGUCCGCGUCGCCGUCACGCGGAAGCACUUCGCCGACGCGCUCUGCCUCCCCUGCAAGCCGUCCCCCGCCGCGGCCCCACCGCCGCCCGAGGAUGCGGACCCCGCCGCGGUCGCCGCCGCCGCCAUGGAGCUCUUGCAGGCCUACGUCCUGCCGCCGUUCCAGGGCGACGACAUGUGCAUACUACCCCCCGAGGUGGCCGCCGCGGAGCAGGCGGUGAGGGACGGGUCGGCGCAUAGGGUUGACUGGGCGGGCCUGAUCUGGGGCCUCGUCGAGAAGGAGAUGCAGGAUUUGCCCAAGAGGGACGAUGGGCUGUGCUACUACGGGGCGUAUCUGCAGAGGCUCAUCUGGGCGCAAAAGCCGGAGCUGUUCGAGCGCACGGAGGAGGGAGAGAGAGGAGGAGAGGUUGUCUUGGAGGUGUCCGACAUGGAUGAGGAGGACGGGGAGGAUGAUACGGAUGUGAAGAGCAAGAGCAUGGAGGAGUUGGAGUCGGGGGAUGCAGAUGCUGAUGCGAAGAACAGUAACUUGGAAAAGUCGGAGGCCGGGGGUGCAGAUUUGAGGAGCAAUUGCUUGGAGGAGCUGGUGUCGGGUGAUGCGGAUGUACGGGGGACGAGUGCGGAGGAAUUGGAAUCGCAUGUUGAGGACAAGGUGAGUAAGGGAUUGGAGGAAACUCGUGCAGAAGAUGUGGAUGCAAAUCAUAUGGACUUGGAUGAAUCAGAGGCUGUGGAUGAGGAUGCGAAAGGCAAGAGCUUUGGUGAAUCGGAGAUGGGGUUUGUGUCUGUGGAAGAAGUUUCUGUUACACAUGAGGUGAUGCUUCCUAAUUACGAGGAGGUGGCGACAGAGGGAGAUGGCGAUACAGCAAUGGCUGCGGUAGAAAAUGAUGCAGGCUCAUUGGCAGAAACAGUAGUGAUGACACAUGAGGAGUUUGUGGCAGUGCCUGAGGAUGAUGAAGAAGAGGCAGAUGGGGAUGAGGAGAAUGAUGCAACAGGGUUGAGCUUGGGCAUCGGCUCCGCCAAUGAUUAUGACAGUACAGAUGGUGAAGAGGAUGCAAAUGUGGAGAAUCUGGGUGAGGGUGAUAGUGGCAAUGAAGAGGCAGAGGAAUCAGAGGAAGAUGCAUUUGGGCAGUAUAGGGGCGAAGAUAUGAAUUGGACAAUGGGGGAUGAGAAGGAUCACGGGAGUGAUUUUGUAAACCUUCAGUUCGAUAAUUUGAACAAAGGUGAUGAUGAGAUCAGGAAUGAAGUCAGCUACGAUGAUGGAUUCUCUGGAAAGAUGGGAUCUUUGCAUGGGAUGACAUCCACAAACCUUCUGCAGGCAAUGAGCUCAAUUCCUGCGACAUACAAUGUUUCAGAGAACGCGCCUGACCUGUCGUCCGGAGAAUUCUUGGCUAUGGGGGCUGAUGCUCAUAAAAAUGGACUGGACCUAGGGACUGGGAGCUCAUAUUUCUUUGAGAAUAAUGGGAAGAGGCACAUUGGAGAAAUUGAAGAGUACAAUGACCCUAUGCCAGGCCAUGAGCAGUUUGACCAGAGAAAUCCAAAUAAGAGAAUGCGGAACAGCAACAAUAGUAGUAUACCACCUGGAUCAUCAGUCUUCAAUGCACAUUUUGCAGAACCCUUUCAGAGCUUGAUGAGCAAAGCUAGCAUGUUCUAUGAACAGAAAGAGAGAGAACUUCAAGAUGUUCUGGUGGAGAAGCAAUAUUUGGCCAACAUGCUCCAGGAGAAGGAACAAAUUAUCCAAUCGUUGAACUCAGCCAGGUUUGAGCAAGAGAAUAAGUGGCAAGCAGAGCUUAGACGCUUUGAGCAUGAUCUGAAUGUGAUGGCACAAUUGGUUACUGGUUAUAGGAGGGCAUUGAAACAGAACCGAGCCUCUUUUGAUGAGUACAGGAAGAAGUUCCCAUGUGACAAGCCUCGUUAUUGUGAUGUUGCUGGUGGCGGUGGCCUUGUUCUUAGUGUCAAGGAGUUGGAGAAGAAGCGGUUGGAGGAGGUGCAGCAGAAACUUGCAAUAGCAAAUGAAAUGAUUGAAAACUUCCAGCAUGAAUGGUUUUCAAAGCUUGAUGACUGGGCACGUUCUAUCCAUUUUAUAUGGUGCAGAACAGAAGAACUGAUUCGGGAGAUCAAUCUUCUCAGGGAAAAAAGAAAAGCAACAGUUACAAACCCAGCUACAGAAGAAGCAAAAGUUACAACCCCAGCUACAGAAGUAGCGGAAGUCACAACCGCAGCUACAGGAGUGGAAGUUACAACUCCAGCUACAGAAAAGGUGGAAGUUACAACCCCAGCUACAGAAAAGGUGGAAGUUACAACCCCAGCUACAGAAGAAGCGAAAAUUACAACCGCAGCUACAGAAGAAGUGGAAGUUACAACCCCAGCUACAGAAGAAGUGGAAGUUACAACCCCAUCUACAAAAGAAGUGGAAGUUACAAUUGCAGCUACAGAAGAAGCGGAAGUUACAACCCCAGCUACAGAAGAAGCGGAAGUUUCAACCCCAGCUACAGAAGAAGUGGAAGGUACAACCCCAGCUACAGAAAAAGUGGAAGGUACAACCCCAGCUACAGAAGAAUGAGUUCUCACUUUCCUGACAUUCAGAGUCGAGGAUGACUAAUAAGGAGGUAAUGGUCUUGAAGGAGGCUGGGGUUAAUUUGGAAUGCCGAGGUUACCUCGUACUAGGUAGUUCAAGGUUCUGAUGUGAAGAUGCCUACUGGCCUCCCCACUACGGCAAUGUCAUUGUGGAUCUGACGAGCUCUCCCUCAGAAAUGCACUCCAAUUCGAUGGGUAUUUUCAUGUCAAGCCCGCGCAUCAGCGAUGUAGCUACCUGGUGGUAUAUUCUAGUAAAGAUCGGCAUUAAUCCCACUUGUAACGUAUCCUUGUUCAAGGACGGUUAAACGGUUAGUGCUUAAUUUAGAUGCCCUUUUGACGCAAUCACUUUGCUGGGCUCCUGUUGGAUAGAACAAAAUUGUGCAUUCUCAUCCUCUGUUUGCAAUGAUAGUUCAGUACUUCAGUCGUAAUGUAGAUUUUUCUUCCAUUGUCAUGUCUUCGGUUAUACCAAUGAGUGAGAGGUAAUGGAUUUGGAAGAUA